GAAAAUACUUUAAACUAUAUAGAUUAAGGUUAACAUUCUUGAUCUUGAAUUUAAAAGUCCUAUGCUCAAAUUUUAAAGAUUAUUCAAUUUCCACCGUCCAUUUUGAUAUAAUUUAUUUUCUAAGUAAACGAUAUCGAAAAAAACUAAAAUUUUAUUCCUAAGAAAUUCAUAUACCUUAGAUCAUAUUUAACAGUGUGGAUCGUUGAUUUGAACGCCCUAAGAUCGAAAACAAACACUAUAGUAUCGGAGCUCGGUACUAUAGAUAGUAUAGUAACCUCAUUCUAUAUAUAUAUAUAUAUAUAUUAUUGUCAUUAACUCGAAGAUCUUUAUUAAACU
rnacentral:lncRNA from 1 species